AUUGAACGCUGGCGGCAUGCCUUACACAUGCAAGUCGAACGGCAGCACGGGAGCAAUCCUGGUGGCGAGUGGCGAACGGGUGAGUAAAGUAUCGGAACGUGCCCAGUCGUGGGGGAUAACGUAGCGAAAGUUACGCUAAUACCGCAUACGAUCUAUGGAUGAAAGCGGGGGAUCGCAAGACCUCGCGCGAUUGGAGCGGCCGAUAUCAGAUUAGGUAGUUGGUGGGGUAAAGGCUCACCAAGCCGACGAUCUGUAGCUGGUCUGAGAGGACGACCAGCCACACUGGGACUGGGACACGGCCCGGACUCCUACGGGAGGCAGAAGUGGGGAAUUUUGGACAAUGGGCGAAAGCCUGAUCCAGCCAUGCCGCGUGCAGGAUGAAGGCCUUCGGGUUGUAAACUGCUUUUGUACGGAACGAAAAGGUUUGGCCUAAUAAGCUGAGCUCAUGACGGUACCGUAAGAAUAAGCACCGGCUAACUACGUACCAGCAGCCGCCGUAA
rnacentral:rRNA from 1 species